rnacentral:rRNA from 11 species
CAAGGUUGCCCAUGGCUGCCCUGACGGCAGAGGAUGACAUCCGAUUCUGGAAGCUAAGCAGGGCCAGCCCAGGUUAGUACUUGUCUGGGAGAUCCCCAGUGUGUAUUAUGGGCUGCGUUUC